GGGCGUGUGGUCUAGGGGUAUGAUCUUCGCUUCGCAUAUCAAUUAUGUUUGCGAAUUUGUGAAUGGUCCUGGGUUCAAUUCCCAGCACGUCCA